rnacentral:rRNA from 1 species
AUUGAACGCUGGCGGCAUGCUUUACACAUGCAAGUCGAACGGUAACAGGCCGCAAGGUGCUGACGAGUGGCGAACGGGUGAGUAAUGCAUCGGAACGUGCCCAGUCGUGGGGGAUAACGCAGCGAAAGCUGCGCUAAUACCGCAUACGAUCUGUGGAUGAAAGCGGGGGACCGAAAGGCCUCGCGCGAUUGGAGCGGCCGAUGUCAGAUUAGGUAGUUGGUGGGGUAAAGGCCCACCAAGCCAACGAUCUGUAGCUGGUCUGAGAGGACGACCAGCGACACGGGGACUGAGACACGGCCCAGACUCCUACGGGAGGCAGCAGUGGGGAAUUUUGGACAAUGGGCGCAAGCCUGAUCCAGCAAUGCCGCGUGCAGGAAGAAGGCCUUCGGGUUGUAAACUGCUUUUGUACGGAACGAAACGGUCCGGGUUAAUACCCUGGGCUAAUGACGGUACCGUAAGAAUAAGCACCGGCUAACUACGUGCCAGCCGCCGCAGUAACAC